ensembl:lncRNA
CCCGCCUCCCCUCUCCCCUCCUCCCCCGCAGCUCCCCUGCUCCCUCUCCCUCUGCGUCUUCUCCUCUCCCCCUCCCCGCAAAGUUUCGGGGCUGUCAGUCUGUCAAGUCUCUGGGGCCGUCCGCACCCGAGCUGCAGAGCCCGCGAGGGGGAGCAGGAGAACCGGGCGCCCGGGUCGGGGCCGGGUCGGGGCCGGGUCGGGGCCGGUUCCCGCCGCACCCACAGCCGCCGCCCGCGCCGCGCAGGUGACAGCCCCCGGGGUGCGGGCGCCGAGAGCGCGGGGUGGGGGGAGCGGCUGGGAAAGGGGGGCCCCGAGGGCACAGGAGGGGCGGGGGCUGGGGGAGAGCUGGGUGUUGGGACGGGGGAAGAGGAGGGCCUGGCUGGGGUGGGGGAGGUCAGGGUUCCGCGGAGAGCGGAGAGACCGACCCGGAGGGCUGGGCUGGCGCCGGGGACCGGGGGCCGCGUGGGGGUCCAGAGAGGGGGACGGGUGGGAGGCCCUCAAGGAAAGGAGGGGGAGGGCUCAGGGGAGGGGGCCCGGGGGAAGGCGAGGAAGGGGAGGCGCGGGGACCCGGCGUUCGGGAGGGGCGCGAGAAGGGCGCUGACAGGUGAGCCCGGGAGCCCGGAGCGGCGAGAGCGAGAUCCGGGCGGAGGGGCCGGGGCGGGGGGCCACGCGGGCGCGGGGGGCGGGGAGGCGAAAGGGGUCCCUGGGCUAGGGGAGGGAAACUUGAGAAGUCGGCGGGGAGCAAAAAAAUGGGGCAGGGGGCCACCGAGCGGGAGCGGAGGUGAGCUGGGAGGCUGGGGAGGGGGGCGCACGGCCGGGCACGGGGGCCAGAGUGAGCGGCCCAGCCGCAGACCCCGAGGUUUGGGUGGGGGGCGGCUAGAGAAGGAGGCGGCGGGGCGGGGGCUCGGAAAGCGGACGGGAAAGGGGCGGGGGCCGUUCUGGGGAGUGGGACUCGGGAGGGAAGGGAAGCGAGAGGCUGCCGGGGAGGCGGAGGGGGAAGGGAGACGGGGCCUCGGAGGGGGAGGGAACCGAGGUGAAGAGAGGAGAGGAGAAGGGAAGCCGGGGUGGGGGAGGAGAGGGCCGGGGAGGGGAGGAAGGAAAAGAGGAGGGGGAAGGAAGGGAGGGAGUGUGCAGUCGGGAGGGGUGAGGAGGCGGGGGACGAGCAGGGAGAGCCCGGAGCGGCGGGGGAGGCGGCCCCGGACCCCGGGAGGGGGAGGGGGAGGGGUCCGCCGCCGCGGAGGCUGCCCCGGCGGAGGGUCAGGGGGCGGUGGCAGUGCAGCGCAGACCAGAGCGGGGCCGGGAGGGGUGGAGCCGGCGGGCUGUGGGCAGGGGCGGGGCCGGGGGCGGAGCUGGGGAGCCAGCCAGCUCCCUUGGGGAGAGAGGGCGGAAGGCGGAGGGCGAGGGAGAGGGGAGGGGUGCAGGGACGGCUGCCAGGGAGGCUGUCGGGGGUGGGGUGGGGGUGGGGAGGGGAGUCUGCUGGGGGAUGGGCAGGGGACCCGCAGGAGCCGGAGCCGCCUUGGGGGCUUUGAGGGUCGGGUGUCCGGGCCUCGGAAAGCCCCGCGGGGGAGGGGCGAUGGUCUUGAGGUCGGGUUCUGGGGUAAUGCUGUCAAGAGCUCUUUCCUGCCUUCGGGGAGGACCCUCCUCCGACGGCCUCCCCAACUCGUGGCCCCAAGCAGUGAUACCUCCGGCCCGCCCCCCACCCCCACCCCAGGCUGGCUCCUGUUUCACCAGCUCCUGCGAUGA